GGGUUGUGGCUCAGUGGUAGAGCGCUUGUUUAGCACAUGUGAGGCCCUGGGUUCAAUCCUCAGCCCCA
rnacentral:tRNA from 1 species